rnacentral:rRNA from 1 species
AGAUGUGGGUUAGUCCGCACGAGCGCAGCCUCACUUUUAGUUGCCAUCAUUAAGUUGGGCACUCUGAAAGAACUGCCAGUGAUAAGCUGGAGGAAGGUGGGGAUGACGUCAAGUCCUCAUGGCCCUUACGUGUUGGGCUACACACGUGCUACAAUGGCAUCUACAACAGGAAGCAAAACGGCAACGUUAAGCAAAUCCCGAAAAGAUGCCUCAGUUCGGAUUGCACUCUGCAACUCGAGUGCAUGAAGCUGGAAUUACUAGUAAUCGUGGAUCAGCGUGCCACGGUGAAUGCGUUCCCGGGUCUUGUACACACCGCCCGUCACACCAUGGGAGUUGGUUCUACCUUAAGGCAAGGUUUCAAACCCUUGACCACGGUAUAGUCAGCGACUGGGGUGAAGUCGUAACAAGGUAGCCGUAGGGGAACCUGCGGCUGGAUUACCUCCUUUCU